rnacentral:rRNA from 1 species
ACGGGAGGCAGCAGUGAGGAAUAUUGGUCAAUGGGGGCAACUCUGAACCAGCCAUCUCGCGUGAAGGAAUACGGCCCUACGGGUCUUAAACUUCUUUUAUAGGGGGAUAAAGUGAGCCACGUGUGGCUUUUUGUAGGUACCCUAUGAAUAAGCAUCGGCUAACUCCGUGCCAGCAGCCGCGGUAAUACGGAGGAUGCGAGCGUUAUCCGGAUUUAUUGGGUUUAAAGGGUGCGUAGGCGGAAUGCCAAGUCAGCGGUGAAACGCACGCGCUUAACACGUGACCUGCCGUUGAGACUGGUAGUCUGGAAUACGGAUGCUGUGGGAGGAAUGUGUGGUGUAGCGGUGAAAUGCAUAGAUAUCACACAGAACACCGAUUGCGAAGGCAUCUCACAAAUCCGUCAUUGACGCUGAGGCACGAAAGUGUGGGGAUCAAACAGGAUUAGAUACCCUGGUA